rnacentral:rRNA from 1 species
CCUACGGGUGGCUGCAGUGAGGAAUAUUGGUCAAUGGGCGAGAGCCUGAACCAGCCAAGUCACGUGAAGGAUGACGGCCCUACGGGUUGUAAACUUCUUUUGUCAGGGAGCAAUUGAGUCCACGUGUGGUCUUAGCGAGAGUACCUGGAGAAAAAGCAUCGGCUAACUCCGUGCCAGCAGCCGCGGUAAUACGGAGGAUGCGAGCGUUAUCCGGAUUUAUUGGGUUUAAAGGGUGCGUAGGCGGAAUAUCAAGUCAGCGGUAAAAAUUCGGGGCUCAACCCCGUCGUGCCGUUGAAACUGAGGUCCUUGAGUGGGCGAGAAGAAUGCGGAAUGCGUGGUGUAGCGGUGAAAUGCAUAGAUAUCACGCAGAACUCCGAUUGCGAAGGCAGCAUACCGGCGCCCAACUGACGCUGAAGCACGAAAGCGUGGGGAUCGAACAGGAUUAGAUACCCGGGUAGUC